rnacentral:rRNA from 1 species
GACGAACGCUGGCGGCGUGCUUAACACAUGCAAGUCGAACGGAAAGUCCCUGCUUUUGUGGGGUGCUCGAGUGGCGAACGGGUGAGUAACACGUGAGUAACCUGCCCUUGACUUUGGGAUAACUUCAGGAAACUGGGGCUAAUACCGGAUAGGAGCUCCUGCUGCAUGGUGGGGGUUGGAAAGUUUCGGCGGUUGGGGAUGGACUCGCGGCUUAUCAGCUUGUUGGUGGGGUAGUGGCUUACCAAGGCUUUGACGGGUAGCCGGCCUGAGAGGGUGACCGGCCACAUUGGGACUGAGAUACGGCCCAGACUCCUACGGGAGGCAGCAGUGGGGAAUAUUGCACAAUGGGCGGAAGCCUGAUGCAGCAACGCCGCGUGCGGGAUGACGGCCUUCGGGUUGUAAACCGCUUUCGCCUGUGACGAAGCGUGAGGGACGGUAAUGGGUAAAGAAGCACCGGCUAACUACGU